GACACUGGUAACAGGAAACGGCUGGGGGAGAAACAGACCACACAGGCCAUUUCUCGCGCUGCCGUCACCGUGCACAGACGUGAAAUCCUUCCUCUCCCUCUCGAUGGCGGAAUAAUUCCAGGUUAUGCACAAGCACCAAAGCUGCCCCAGCUACAGAUUCAAGGCCUUGGUCAAGGGCGAGAUGACGGGAAAGGAAACAGAGGAAAUGCUCCUAGUCUUGGAUCUGCCUGUGGGAAAGUAUGCUCUUACUAAAUUGCGGGGCCACGAAGAUCAUACAGCGAGGGGAAAUCCAAGGAUCUAGGACACUAUGAUAUUCCACUAUCCUUGGGACAUGGAAGCCCGACCUGACGCUGCACAACUUAAAGGCAGACAAGGAGCUGGCAGAAGGCUGUGAUCUUCCCCACCAACCUCUGCUUGGAGGGCACAGAUCGUUCACGUCAAGCCGCCGCCGGACACACCCUCAUCCUCCGAGGCAACCAAUGUCUACAUCCCCGGUGCUGAGACAUCCGUUACCGGUCCCGUUAGAGCUGUGGGCAGGGGCCAGGAAGUGAGCCUGCGAAGUGUGCCUGUGUACAUGCAGCGACCCUCGGCCAAGAAUGGUCAUAACGGGGCACACGACAGCCAACGGGCACCGUCUCUUCCGUUCCUGAUCCGGGGAAGCUGACCACUGAUGGACCUGACAUGUCAGCCACCCAUCCAUCUGGCCAGGGAUGUACUUCCCCGGGCACUUUCUCUUCUUCUCUUGCAUUAGGGAGCAGACCGUCCACGUCAAGCCACCGCCGGACACACCCUCAUCCCCCGAAACAACCAACGUCUGCAUCCCCAGCCCUGAGACAUCCAUUCCCGGUCCUGGGAGAGCUGUGAGGCCAAUCACACCACCUGAGACCGACGUGACGGCAGUUCCUGGCACAGCCGAUGCGACGAGGCCGAUCUGAACGUGCACGUGCUCUUCGAUGUCCAGUAUAAGGGCGCAAAAGACAAUAGAGUCUGCAUGAUCGAUACCAAAUGUCAUAAUGUCUGAAGAAAUUAGCCAGAGGACCACCCCUUGACCAAAUUGUUUGAUUGUCUGGAUCCAUCAUAUGUCCUAGUAGAACUACAAGGACAGUAACGACAAAACAUUUGAGCAUAAAGAACGACAGUCAUUGUAACAACAACUAGUUCAAUUGUAUUGUCAAUUAUUUUAUUACAUUGGGCUUCUCCAGUAGCCAGGCUUUGAGACUGGAAGAUGAUAGACAGUCUAUAUUGUAAUCGAAACUGAUUGCUGUUAUUCGGUACAUCCAGUUAUCAAACUAACGAGUACAUCAAACUAAUGAUUCACUGCUAUACAAUAAUACAAGGGAGGGAUGUAUGGUAUUUAUAGCAGGACAUCUGCAUAGUUUUUGUACAAUAUCCAAUGAUCAUGUGCAACAGGAGUUCCCUGGCUGUACAGCUGUAAUAGGUGACCUAGUACAGGUGUCUCCCACUGCAAGGUCAGAGGUCAAGUCUAAAAGUCUUGACC